rnacentral:rRNA from 1 species
UGGGGAAUUGUUCGCAAUGGGCGCAAGCCUGACGACGCAACGCCGCGUGGAGGAUGAAGAAUUUCGGUUCGUAAACUCCUUUCGAUCGAGAUGAACAUCCUUCGGCCUAAUACGCCGGAGGACUGACAGUAUCGAGAGAAGAAGCCCCGGCUAACUCUGUGCCAGCAGCCGCGGUAAUACAGAGGGGGCAAGCGUUGUUCGGAAUUACUGGGCGUAAAGGGUUCGUAGGUGGCCGAUUUAGUCAGACGUG